GGCAGGUAUAGUGGUGAAUAUUACAGCGGAGUGUAAUUUCCUCAGUACUAUUCUGGGAUAGAUAUUAGGGCUGUUCAUAAAUCCUCUAGCUUCAACUUUUCUUCCUCUUUAAAGGUGAACCAGUGCUUGAUUAGCUACGUUUCCUGUUUCUGCAUUGGUGAUCAUGGAAACAAAUGCUGAGAAGGAGCCUCUGCUGCCUGGGUACGUGAAUGACCACGGUGAACAGAGGGCUCAGUAAGGAACCCUGACGGACUGGUUUCAACUACUGUAGUGGGGGAAGACAAUCUGAUAUGAGUGGUAAAGAAAGAGAAAAACCCAACUCAAGUGUCAGCUUUAAAAACUCUGGGCUGUCACGUCCUUUCUGUUUGUUAGUUUUUGUGAAGGACCUCAUCAAGGAGAACUACAAACCACUGCUCAAUGAAA
rnacentral:lncRNA from 1 species